AUUGAACGCUGGCGGCAGGCCUAACACAUGCAAGUCGAGCGGUAGAGAGGUGCUUGCAUCUCUUGAGAGCGGCGGACGGGUGAGUAAUGCCUAGGAAUCUGCCUAGUGGUGGGGGAUAACGUUCGGAAACGGACGCUAAUACCGCAUACGUCCUACGGGAGAAAGCGGGGGAUCUUCGGACCUCGCGCCAUUAGAUGAGCCUAGGUCGGAUUAGCUAGUUGGUGAGGUAAUGGCUCACCAAGGCGACGAUCCGUAACUGGUCUGAGAGGAUGAUCAGUCACACUGGAACUGAGACACGGUCCAGACUCCUACGGGAGGCAGCAGUGGGGAAUAUUGGACAAUGGGCGAAGCCUGAUCCAGCCAUGCCGCGUGUGUGAAGAAGGUACUUCGGAUUGUAAGCACUUUAAGUUGGGAGGAAGGGUAGGUAACCUAAUACGUUGCUACUUUGACGUUACCGACAGAAUAAGCACCGGCUAACUUCGU
rnacentral:rRNA from 1 species